AUUGAAACACUGGUUCUCAUACAAUCACCAAAAUUAAGCAAUGUUGAGCCUGGUCAGUACCUAGAUGAGUAACCAUUUGGGAAUACCAGGUGCUGCAAG